rnacentral:rRNA from 1 species
GACAGAGGUGCCGAGCGUUAGGCGGAAUCACUGGGCUUAAAGCGUGUGUAGGCGGACUUCUAAGUACCUUGUGAAAUCCCACGGCUCAACCGUGGAACUGCUGGGUAUACUGGUCGUCUUGAGCCACCUAGGGGCGAGCGGAACAAGCGGUGGAGCGGUGAAAUGCGUAGAUAUCGCUUGGAACGCCAAUGGUGAAAACAGCUCGCUGGGGGUGUGCUGACGCUGAGACACGAAAGCCAGGGGAGCGAACGGG